AGCGAAGUAUAAUCUAGCAAAUUAUACAUUUAGCCGCCAUGGUAUGGUAAUAUGUAGCCGAAGUACAGGAUGACCGCCUCGUAAGAUUACCAGUAAAGCCCACAG
rnacentral:sRNA from 12 species